AGGCCAGGGGGUAGCGACUGUUUAUCAAAAACACAGGACUCUGCUAAGUCGGCUUCAAGACGACGUAUAGGGUCUGACGCCUGCCCGGUGCUCGAAGGUUAAGAGGAGGAGUGCAAGCUCCGAAUUGAAGCCCAGGUAAACGGCGGCCGUAACAAUAACGGUCCUAAGGUAGCGAAAUUCCUUGUCGGGUAAGUUCCGACCUGCACGAAUGGCGUAACGAUGGCGGCGCUGUCUCCACCCAAGACUCAGUGAAAUUGAAAUCGCUGUUAAGAUGCAGUGUAUCCGCGGCUAGACGGAAAGACCCCGUGAACCUUUAC
rnacentral:rRNA from 13 species